UUCUUGCCAGUACCAAGGGUGGCUGGCUCUCAGCUGGCUCCUGUCUGACUUGUCCCCUGCUGAAAAGCAUGAAACAUCAUCACACUUCACAAGAGUUUAUCUUCAUGUCUUGAGUUUCCAAAAUUUGCAACCACAUUGACGUAGAUCUACAAGUGACAAAAGCACUGUGUUGCCAGGUCUGCUGAAGAACAGUGAGAAGGUUACAUUUUCCUCUGAAUUCAGCAGAGGUCUCCAAACAGCACUUGUCCUUCAGUUAUCUGAAGUCAAAAUGCAAAAGCAGACACCUCUCAUGAAAAGUUUGUCUUUGACCAAGAAGAGAAUAAUUUUCAGUGAAAAUUUGCUUAGAUGAAAAAUGUACAGCCAGCUCUGAUGCAAAGCACCUUAUGUAUCAGCUGUCCUUGAAAAUUUUCUUCCUGCCUGGCUCUCCCUUCUGUUUGAAAAGCAGAGAUUUCCCCAUGAAACUUCCUCUACAGUAAUAGCACAAGAAAGGCUGGUUUUCCUUAUCUCAGGAAAACAAGAGCUUGUUCAGAAGGUCCAACUAAGGCACUUCCCAACAGAGCUGUGCAAAAAGGCUGUGAAAAGCUGCAAUGGAAACACGUGCCUCUGAAGAUCAAACUCACCCUUCAGGAAGGCUGUUACCAACUUCUGGGAGUGCAGGGGAAUAUGCCUUUCCCUAAAUUUAAUUACAGAGGUAGGAGAGGUAGUGUGGAGUUGUGUCUGGUAUCUAUAUUUAUUCUAGUCUGAAACAAUGCUUCUAAAAUCAUGUGCCAGUACGCUUAAAAUGGUGGAAGACUGUCAUGGUUUAAACUUUUUCAUACUAGAGAUAUGAAUGCUAGUCCUAGGUACGUGACACUAGACCCCAUCUACAAUGCCACCGAAAACGUUUUUUUCUGUCAAGAAAUGGUAUACUUUAAU